GGGUAUGUUGUUGCCGCCGUUGCAUUAUAUGUAUCCAGGACCCAUGUGUUUUGAUGUUUUUGUAUAGCAAUUUUAUUGUGCUUCGCAUACCAACUUCUUUUUGUUAAGGAACGAUUGCCAUCGUUUUACGUUUUCCGCAAAACAACACACUGUUCUCGCCACAAUUCCUCUUGUUUUGGGUGUAGGGGAGGAAUGGUUAAGAAGAGAACAUCAGGAGACAAUGGGUUUUUUUGGCG
rnacentral:misc_RNA from 1 species